UUAUGGCUCAGGAUGAACGCUGGCGGUAUGCUUAACACAUGCAAGUCGAACGGGAAUCUUAGGAUUCUAGUGGCGGACGGGUGAGUAACGCGUGAGAAUUUGGCUUCAGGUCGGGGACAACAGUUGGAAACGACUGCUAAUACCGGAUAUGCCGGAAGGUGAAAGAUUUAUUGCCUGAAGAUAAGCUCGCGUCUGAUUAGCUAGUUGGUGGGGUAAGAGCCUACCAAGGCGACGAUCAGUAGCUGGUCUGAGAGGAUGAUCAGCCACACUGGGACUGAGACACGGCCCAGACUCCUACGGGAGGCAGCAGUGGGGAAUUUUCCGCAAUGGGCGAAAGCCUGACGGAGCAAUACCGCGUGAGGGAGGAAGGCUCUUGGGUCGUAAACCUCUUUUCUCAGGGAAGAAAAAAAUGACGGUACCUGAGGAAUAAGCAUCGGCUAACUCCGUGCCAGCAGCCGCGGUAAUACGGAGGAUGCAAGCGUUAUCCGGAAUGAUUGGGCGUAAAGGGUCUGUAGGUGGUGCUGUAAGUCUGCUGUUAAAGAGUCACGCUCAACGUGAUAAAAGCGGUGGAAACUACAGGACUAGAGUGCGGUCGGGGCAGAAGGAAUUCCUGGUGUAGCGGUGAAAUGCGUAGAUAUCAGGAAGAACACCGGUGGCGAAAGCGUUCUGCUAGUCCGCAACUGACACUGAGGGACGAAAGCUAGGGGAGCGAAUGGGAUUAGAUACCCCAGUAGUCCUAGCCGUAAACGAUGGAUACUAGGCGUGGCUUGUAUCGACCCGAGCCGUGCCGGAGCUAACGCGUUAAGUAUCCCGCCUGGGGAGUACGCACGCAAGUGUGAAACUCAAAG
rnacentral:rRNA from 1 species